rnacentral:tRNA from 1 species
ACCUGGGUGGCUUAGUCAGUUAAGCACCUGACUUCAGCUCAGGUCUUGAUCUCACGGAUUGUGGGUUUGAGCCCCGCGUCGGGCU